ACAUUUUUCAUACUUAAUAUUGGACCUCCUCUAAAAAAAUUCUGGUCCGCCAGUGCCAAGAAGACUGACGACGAACCCGGAAAGGUAAAUCAUAAAAACGAUACUGCUCCUGGUUGAGUUUUAUCAGCAACUUUGGCUGAUUUGCCUGGACCAGAAUUAAAAUGGGAAAAGAUGGCUGCUACACCUGUAGCUCGCUUGGAUGGGGUGGCUAUACAGAUAAAGAAUCUUCUAUUCGUGUUUGCUGGAUACAGUACCAUUGAUUAUGUGAGAACCUUGUAUUGCUCCUUAACUAAAUUGUUUUUUAUAUUGUUCAUGCUAGCUGUCUCUACUGAAUUUUUCAGGCUAUGUCCUGUUUUAUUUAUUAAAAUGGUCUGUUGCUUAUUUUUUAACAUCCAAAUUUUCAUGAUUUAGCACAUUACUUUUAACUUAACCCCUUUGAAAUGACUACUGUAUAGAUUAGUCUUACAUUUUCUUGAGAUCUUGUUUUAGCUGAUGCUAUGGGAAUUCUAUCUUCUUUUGUAUUUGGGAAAUGAACUGAUUUAAUGUAGCCCCUUAACGAAAUAAAUUGUUGAUGCUUCUGUGCAAAUAACUUUUAAGAUAAAUAAAGAAUAGCCAUGCGCAUUAUUUUGUGGGUUAUGGAACUUUUGGAAGUGAAGGUUGACUAGUAUGACACACAUGUACUCAAUAUGAAUAUUCACACUGUAUUAUGUUAUUAGCUACAUUUGCAAGAAGAAAUUAUAAAAUUAAAAAAAACAAACAAACAAUGAAAUCAUCUAGAAACUAGAAAUGGUUCUAGAUUUGUUUAGCACUAUUGUUGGGGGAUGAAUUUGUUGAAGAGGUGGUUGUAUCACAAACUGCUACAUGAGAGAGAAGGGUUUCUAUUAUAUGGAGCAUGCAGAGAAUUGGAUAAGAAUAUCAAGAUUUAAAAGAAGAUGUUUGGGUUGCAAGUGGAUUAGGAAUUGCUAGGAGUAGCUAUCAAGGCAAAUCGAAGAUUGUAGUACAAACUGCUCAGGGUAAUCCUUGUUCGUUAAAUUUUUGGAAUCCGGUAGUUAAAAAG